AGGACGAUGGGCGCAUUUUGCCUCCGAGCUCGACGCCGACCCCGGGGCAUCUGGUAGCGGCCGCUUGCCACUACUCCUCUGCUCACAUGACACAGGCAGAGGGUCAGGGGUUGGCUUCGUCGACUCCCGGGGUGCGUCCCGUGCCGACCCCUGGGACGUAGCCGCAGAGCCCUGCGGGGUCGGGUCCUGGGCAGGCGGUCUGCUCGGCUUCUCCCUGGUGGCCAGUUGAGGGUGCUCCUCCUGGAUGACGAGUGCGCCCGGCUGGGGGGCCAGAAUAUACUCACCCUCAUCAUCGUCGUCGUCGUCGUCUGACACGACCGCGCCCCGCCGCCGCCGUUGAAUCUCCUUGGCGGCAUUCUUCUUCUUCCUCGCCGUCUCUUUGUC
rnacentral:lncRNA from 1 species